rnacentral:lncRNA from 1 species
GCUCUGGAUUGAUGCAAAAACUUAUUUUUUUGUACAACCUAGUGUAGACAUAUCUCAAUUAGAAGGGGUCUUAGAUAUAGCUGCUUUAUCUUUUCCAUAGAUGAUAUGAAUCACUCUAUUCCAAAUCACGCGAGCAGCCAUACCUUCUCAAUUCUUAUACUGCUUACAUGAUUGCUGGCAAGGCUGCUUACAUGAUUGCUGGCAAGGCUUAUUCUCAAUUCAAGAUACAGUAUUGACAUUUUUAACUAACCAAAAAAGCCAAGAUUUGUCCUCCAUGAGGUCAACAUUGGAUCCCAAAU